CCGAGACGGAGCGAGGGGUCCAGGGUGUGGGAAACGGGGAGGGGUUUGAGGAGGGGAUCGGAAUGUGGCUCAAGUUCGGGAGGCGUUACCUGCGGAGGGUUUGAGGCAGGCCCAGGAGCGAGCCCAUGGUCUUCCGACGCGGGGCCAGGGGCGGGGCCCAGGAUCCGGAGCUUCGUGCGGGGCCGAGUCCAGGUUUGGGGCCCGGGAGGCGGGGCCAGUUAGGGCGAGGGUCCCUGGGAUCGUCGGGUCAGGCCUUGGGCUAACGUAGGCACUCUCGCAGUUCCUCCGCCUUCAGGAAGGUCUUUUCAGCAGGGGCCUUACGGGUGCAUGCUUCGGUCCUGGAGGCCUUAUCCUAGCCUCCUCUCCAUCAGCGCCACCCGUCUGGGGCCCGAAAGGAGGGAGCUUUCCCUCUGUCCCCCAGCCUUUGGACUGUCACUAAACAAGCCAUUCGUUCAUCAAAUACUUUUUAAGCGCCUACCAUGUGCCUGACAAGGGAGAUGUAACGGUGAGAAAAACUAGGUGUGGUCCAGGCCCUUCAGGGGCUCAGGUGCUCGUGGAAGAAGUGGACAUUGAAGUACUUAUCACACAAAUGAGGAUAAAAGUACGAUAACGAUAUCUACCACGAAGCUGUUGUUCCCCACCAGAACCAAAUGAGCGCAAGAUCUGACAAAGAAAAAAAAAGGUUCAUCUUUUAUUCCUCCAAACACUUUCAUUUAAAUCAAGAGGAUGGGAUGUGGUUAUUGCUGUGUUUUUAGACAGAAUCAACGGUUUCUGGGUCUGAGAUGUUGCAUACACCUUCUCAGUCCCUGUAUCCUGAGAUGGAGUCACCUGAGAAUCCACAGCAAGUCCUAACCAGGGAUGGGUCUGGGUGAUUAAGGAAGGUUGGCUUCAGAACUGGGCCAGGGGCACUGCUUUGCUUUUGCUGUUUUGAUCAGCUCUCUGCCUGAAGGAGACAAGAAAAACCAACGGGAACAGCCCAGUAAAGGCGCCAUUCCCCAUUUUACAGCUGGGGAAACUGAGUUACAGAGCUUGUCUGCACUGAGUCAUCAGGAGCAAAUGCUAGAUCAGAUAGGGUCUCUCUCUCUGCCACCCAGGCCAGAGUGCAGUUGACGCAGGGCAGGGGAGCCCCGAAGUGGAGCAUAGUGUGUCCGGAACUGGUGGGUUCUUGGUCUCACUGACUUCAAGAAAGAAGCCGCGGACCCUCG
rnacentral:lncRNA from 1 species